GGAAUACUUUUUAUGUUGCGAAUCAAACGAACCGUAGGGCGAGAGAGAGAGAGAGAGAGAGAGAGAGAGAGGAAGAAGGAAAAGGAGAAGAAUAGGGAACAGGAGAGAAAAUAGAAGCAAAAAAGGAUAGAGGGGGCAUAUGAUGUGGGGAGUUUGUCCAAAGGGUAAAUAGAUAAGAAGUGAUGAAGGGGCGCUGCCCUACCUACAUCCAUCACUCGGACUUCCAAUUCCUCUUCCCCCCUUUUCUACUCUUUCAAUUUCCGAGAGAGAGAGAGAGAUGGAAGCAGCGGAGCAAGUAGCACCUCAACCCCAAGCAAUAGAGAUAUCUAGCGGCAACUACUCCCUCCCUGACAACGACGAGCAGGACCAAGUCAUCGAUCGUUGUUGCUCAUGCUGCUACGACUGCUGGGACAGCUGCUGGGAAUCAUUGUUCUGCGACUUCUGUAAUUGAUCGGAAUGGAUGGAUGGAUGGAUAGCUCGAUCUCCAACUCCCCUUCGUCGCUGUGAUAUCUUCAGAUUUUUAUGAGACAUUCUGAACAUUUUAAUUUAAUUAGCUUUUCUUAAUCUUGUAUUUCUAUUUUCUUUCUUUUUUAUUAAUUUGCAUCUUCUCAUAACUUCUCUUUGCCAUGUUAUCAUCAACGUAUUAAUUGGUGUAAAUAUGAUUCUCAUGUCUCGAUGAAACGACAGACAUGAGAAUGGGAUGAGAUGGCUCAUGGCUGCGUCUGGGGGAAGUGACGUCUGUGAGUCUUGGCCUUCACAAGUCAUCUGGGCCCAGCCCAAAACAUUGCGGCCCACGAUUUGUCUUUUCCGAUGAACAACAUGCUCGCAGAAGCUUCCGACCGACGCCCAACAACCGUGGCACCACCUAUCUAGCAAUACGCUCGUCCCUACCUCUCUGUAAAGUAAAUUUCCUUAUCAUGUUUCACUGUUUGGAGUUUCGGCUAUUAAUUUAAAUAUGCAUUUUAAUUUAUAUUAAGUAGUGUUUGAAAAUUUUAAAUUUAAAUAAAAUUUAAUGUAACCUUAUACU